rnacentral:rRNA from 1 species
UACGGGGGGAGCAAGCGUUGUUCGGAUUUACUGGGCGUAAAGGGCGCGUAGGCGGUCAGCACAAGUCAGUUGUGAAAUCUCUGAGCUUAACUCAGAACGGCCAAGUGAUACUGCAGUGCUAGAGUGUGGAAGGGGCAAUCGGAAUUCUUGGUGUAGCGGUGAAAUGCGUAGAUAUCAAGAGGAACACCUGCGGCGAAGGCGGGUUGCUGGGCCGACACUGACGCUGAUGCGCGAAAGCCAGGGGAGCGAACGGG